GAUGAACGCUGGCGGUGUGCCUAAUACAUGCAAGUCGAGCGGACACACGAUGAGCUUGCUCCCCUGACGUUGGCGACUGGCGGGUGAGUAACACGUGCAUCACCUUCCUCUUUUACUUGGAUGACUUCGGGAAACCACUGCCGCUACUGCCUAAUACAUUCUACCGCAUGGAUCAAUAGUUAUUCACACCUUUCCUGUCUCUUUUAGACGAUUCCGCGUCGCAUUAGCUAGUUGGUAAGGUAACGGCUUACCAAGGCUACGAUGCGUAGCUGAGCUGAGAGGAUGAUCAGCCACACUGGAACUGAGACACGGUCCAGACUCCUACGGGAGGCAGCAGUAGGGAAUAUUGCGCAAUGGGCGAAAGCCUGACGGAGCAACGCCGCGUGAGUGAAGAAGGUCUUCGGAUCGUAAAGCUCUGUUGUUAGGGAAGAACAGAUGUAGAAGAAACUAUGCACGUCUUGACGGUACCUAAACAGAAAGCCACGGCUAACUUCGUG
rnacentral:rRNA from 1 species